GAUGAACGCUGGCGGCGUGCCUAAUACAUGCAAGUCGAGCGAACGGACGAGAAGCUUGCUUCUCUGAUGUUAGCGGCGGACGGGUGAGUAACACGUGGAUAACCUACCUAUAAGACUGGGAUAACUUCGGGAAACCGGAGCUAGUACCGGAUAAUAUUUUGAACCGCAUGGUUCAAAAGUAAAAGACGGUCUUGCUGUCACUUAUAGAUGGAUCCGCGCUGCAUUAGCUAGUUGGUAAGGUAACGGCUUACCAAGGCAACGAUGCAUAGCCGACCUGAGAGGGUGAUCGGCCACACUGGAACUGAGACACGGUCCAGACUCCUACGGGAGGCAGCAGUAGGGAAUCUUCCGCAAUGGGCGAAAGCCUGACGGAGUAACGCCGCGUGAGUGAUGAAGGUCUUCGGAUCGUAAAACUCUGUUAUUAGGGAAGAACAUAUGUGUAAGUAACUGUGCACAUCUUGACGGUACCUAAUCAGAAAGCCACGGCUAACUACGUG
rnacentral:rRNA from 1 species